ACAUGAUGGGAGGCUGUGAGCAUAGUCCCAGAGGGGACUCUUUAUCUGAAGUCGAGGUUACCAUGAUGUUAACGUCUGACUAUGAAAUAAAUAAGAUAAUGUACCUAUCAUUAGUAGCAAACGUGAUGGAUACUCCUCUUCAGUUAGAUAAUCAUAGGGUGACACAGUACGUGUUUAGUAAAGACUGGUUUCAUUAAACUUGAUUCUGACAAUUUCACCUCAAAUCGUGUUUUAGGCUAAGCGCACAUUGACCUUGACCUGAUCAUGUAUCAAUAGCACCAAUGUUGUAAGUCCUCUAAAAUAUCAUGGAUAUAAACAUUUUGAAUAAGUUUCAUAAAGACUAGAUUAAAUCUGUGGUCUAAGGAGUGUUAACGCAUUCCUAAGAUA